CCUGCAUAGCUCAGUUGGUGGAGCAUGAGAACUUUAAUCUCAGGGUUGUGGGUUCGAAUCCCACGUUGAGGA